GAAUGUGCGUCCACGAGUCGAGUAGCUGCAUCGGCCCACAUGUACUGUACGUACGGCAUGAGAAGGGCGGGUCCAUCACUGCCAGUGCUGGUAUGGUAUGUCACUAUGCUGUGUGAUGGGUUGCUCGUAUUUUCCAGCAGGACACGAAAAUGCUCUCGGCCAAGAACGGGAAAUUUCACCUUCCAUAUGAAAUGACACAGUGGAAGCCAACUUUUACAAUUAGAGGUUAGAGGACCUGCUGGGUCGGGCAACAAGAAGUAUGUGCAACAUCAAGUUGGUGGAUGGAUGUCUAGGUUACCAAGUCCACCAUAUGGUGACAGUUACCAUCAAGGGUCAGGUGCAGUCAAUGCUAGGUCAGAUUCACACAAAAGGGCUGAAACACCACCAACUGCAACAAGCGGCCCUUGCACAGUCACAGCGUCUUCCGGCUGAACCUGAGCGGCUAUUACUGAUAGGCCAGCUUCGUACAAGUGGGCCACCAACUGCAAAGAGCGGCCCUUGCGCAGUUACAGUGCUUCUGGCUGAAGCUGGGUGGCAGCAAAUGUCUGACCGAGGAAUUUGGUGGGGUUGUUUUGCGGCCCUGCCCACACUCCCCUAACAAGAACAGGAUGAGUCAUCUAGUCCCUAACCCAGUCUCCAACAGUGGGUGCAGUGCCAAAAACCCUAUUAUUGAGCUGACACUGGGCGUCACGUGUGAGAUGAUCUACCAGUCUUUUGGAGCCACGUCAUGGUUGGAGAGCACUUGAACCUUCUUUGAAGGCUACUUACGAGGAUCCUGGCUGCGAGUUUUGGAGCCAUAAUACCCUACGCUGCCCCGACCUCUUACUUUGUAGAGACCCAGACCAGAGCCCCUACAGAGCUGACAGGCUGACGCUGGAAGCCAUGCUGGAGGAGACUAGAGAUAGGCCUAAGACCAAGCUAGGCAUCUGCAAAUGCAAGAAUGCAUGGGGACAAUCGCCAACAAGUGUGACUGCCAAGGCCAUGCUGGUUUCCAGUAAAUGCUUGCGAAGGAGAUCGAGAGACCACUUGGCUUAGCUCCAGCACCCUCUGCGGCCCUCACCUGGAGACCUCUUACCCAGAGACAUAUAGACUGGAUCAUACAGGUGGAGCUAGAAGGGACCCAUGCUGGAGGGAGCCAUGCUGGAGGGGGCCUACGCUGGAGGGAGCCCACGCUGGAGGGAACCUAUGCUGGAGGGGACCCACGCUGGAGGGGACCCAUGCUGGAGGGGACCCAUGCUGGAGGGGACCCACACUGGAGGGGACCCACGCUGGAGGGAACCCACGCUGGAGGGGACCCACGCUGGAGGGGACCCACGCUGGAGGGGGCCCACGCUGGAGGGAGCCCACGCUGGAGGGAGCCCACGCUGGAGGGAGCCCACGCUGGAGGGAACCUAUGCUGGAGGGGACCCACGCUGGAGGGGACCCACGCUGGAGGGGACCCACGCUGGAGGGGACCCACGCUGGAGGGGACCCACGCUGGAGGGGAUCCACGCUGAGGGGAUCCACACUGGACGGGACCACAGGCACAAGACCAGGGGAAUGUGGUAACUGUUUACUUCUUUCUUGAAUGUAAAAAUAUAUCCUAGCUCGGUGUUGAUUUGCUUUGUUCAAGUAACAGUGGCGGAUCAGAUGGGCAGAAUGGGAAGUGCAUUCAUCUUGUCUGUUUUCCUUUUUUUUUCACUUCACUUGUGAUAUAUUCAAGGCAGAAACUUUUCACCCACAUUAAAUAGCAAGUACAAUGUGCCCUGCUUGAAUGUUCAGGUUUGCAUCCUUUAUUGGCACCCCCCUCGUUUCUGUAAAUGUUGGAUCCGCCACUGAAUAACAUAGUAAUAUUUCUUUAUAUGUUAUGUGACACAGUAUGUCAAAACCAUGCUGUAGUAUCAAAUUUCAGAAAAAAGUGGUGUUUGUAAGAGCGAAGUCUAUAGAUGUAUCUCUUAUAAGACAUAUUAAGAAAAUUACAUUGUCAUUUUGAAUGCACAACGCCAUUGUGCACGGUGAGUACAAAAUGUUCUGAUCACCUGCGCAUGUUACUCAUAUUUUCUGAAUUGAAAAAUUGAAAAAAGGUGCAGCCGAUGAGCGUCACGAACAUUUGACGCCAAGAUGCCGAGAUGCAUGUGGCAAUCUGUAGUCACAUCAUUUGAGAGAGACCUAUAUGUCACUAAUAUUGCAGUAACUGAAAAUUGACUUCUUGCCCAAAUGUGCCUGAAUUUGACAUACCACGUCACAUAUAUAUGCUCCAUCAACUGAUAUUCCUGCCGUAAUUUGUGCAAAUUAAGUUGUUUUGUACAUUAAAGGUAAAAUGUACAUUGGGGAAAAAUGACUUGGUUCUUGUGAAUUCAAAAAAAUCUGCUCAUUGAAAAGGUUCUUGAGAAACGUUUGCUCAUUGACUAAUGCUGUUUACAAUACCACAAUAUACAAAACUUGAAAGGGGUAUUCCUGCCUGAAAUCCCCAAAAUGUCAUGUUUUGUAUUGUUUACUUUUUUAAGGUCUGAUUGAAAGGAAACUAACCUUAUGUCUUACCGUCCCCUUAUGUCUUAACAUCAGAUGUGAAGGCAUAUACGCAUACGUAAAUCCUGUCCGGUCCGUUCAACGUUCAAUACACAGUGUGUGUCACAUAAACUACACAGAGCACCAACACAAAUGUUUUUUCUUACGCAUCCACAGCUUGAUUUUCGAGAACAAAAUAUUGACCCCCGAAAUUUGUUCUCGCACGGUACUUGCAAGAAUAACACAAAUGCAGCCAGUUUUUAAUGGAUGCUUGUGUGGAAGUUUAUAUUUUACUUUUACUGUUCUUGCCAUUUAAUUGUAUCCAAAAUUGUUUUGUAGCCAAGUGGGUGCAUUCCACGGGCAGUAAUGUGCCAUUAACCAUAACCCCUUGGGUAUUUUUACUAGAAAGUUUCCUGAAUCUGCCAAAAUCCAUCAGUUUUGUCAUGCAAACAAAUGUUGGUAUCCAGUGAGUCCAUCAGUAUCCACCAGUGAGCCAGGGGUUAAAUUGUUGAGAUCCUGAAUCCGUCAAAAGCCCCCCC